rnacentral:rRNA from 1 species
GAGCGCCCCGCAAGGGGAACGGCAGACGGGUGAGUAACACGUGGGAACGUACCUUUUGCUACGGAACAACUCCGGGACAGCGGAGCUAAUACGGUAUGAGCCCUUGGGGGGUAAGAUUUAUCGGCAAGAGAUCGGCCCGCGUUGGAUUAGCUAGUUGGUGGGGUAAAGGCUUACCAAGGCGACGAUCCAUAGCUGGUCUGAGAGGAUGAUCAGCCACAUUGGGACUGAGACACGGCCCAGACUCCUACGGGAGGCAGCAGUGGGGAAUAUUGGACAAUGGGCGAAAGCCUGAUCCAGCCAUGCCGCGUGUGUGAAGAAGGUCUUCGGAUUGUAAAGCACUUUAAGUUGGGAGGAAGGGCAAUUACCUAAUACGUGAUUGUUUUGACGUUACCGACAGAAUAAGCACCGGCUAACUCUGUG